rnacentral:rRNA from 1 species
GUGCCAGCAGCCGCGGUAAUACGUAGGGUGCUUGACGCUAUUCGGAUUACUGGGCGUAAGCGCACGCAGGCGGUUUGUUAAGUCAGAUGUGAAAUCCCCGGGCUCAACCUGGGAACUGCAUUUGAUACUGGCAAGCUUGAGUCUCGUAGAGGGGGGUAGAAUUCCAGGUGUAGCGGUGAAAUGCGUAGAGAUCUGGAGGAAUACCGGUGGCGAAGGCGGCCCCCUGGACGAAGACUGACGCUCAGGUGCGAAAGCGUGGGGAGCAAACAGGAUUAGAUACCCUGGUAGUCCACGCCGUAAACGAUGUCGACUUGGAGGUUGUGCCCUUGAGGCGUGGCUUCCGGAGCUAACGCGUUAAAUCGACCGCCUGGGGAGUACGGCCGCAAGGUUAAAACUCAAAUGAAUUGACGG